GAUGAAGAACGCAGCGAAAUGCGAUAAGUAAUGCGAAUUGCAGAAUUUCCGUGAGUCAUCGAAUCUUUGAACGCACAUUGCGCCCGCCAGUAUUCUGGCGGGCAUGCCUGUUCGAGCGUCAUUUCAACCCUCAAGCACAGCUUGGUGUUGGGACUCGCGUUAAUUCGCGUUCCCCAAAUUGAUUGGCGGUCACGUCGAGCUUCCAUAGCGUAGUAGUAAAACCCUCGUUACUGGUAAUCGUCGCGGCCACGCCGUUAAACCCCAACUUCUGAAUGUUGACCUCGGAUCAGGUAGGAAUACCCGCUGAACUUAAGCAUAUCAAUAAGCGGAGGA
rnacentral:misc_RNA from 1 species